CCCACACUUCUCUCCCCCUUGGCCGCCACCCCCUGCCCAUCUCUUCCUCUCUCCAUUCUUGCAGCCACCAAACCCUAGCCCCCCCCCUCAAUCCCCUCCUCCCAAGGUGCCAAUCCUUGCCGCUCGGAUCAUCGUCGUCGUGGUGCGAGUCUUAAAUCGUUUUGGUGGAGGGAAGAAGGGAGGAAGGAAAGGGGGAGAAUCCAAGGUGAUUUUUGUGUUCAUCCCUUGUUCAUUUGCGCUGCAAUUAAAUUGAUUAGAGGUUGCGUUUGCGAUUGGGUAGAGGGGGCUGUCCAGAAUUUUAGGUGGUGGGUGAACAGCAGUAGUCUAGCAGUUUCUGUGUUUUUUUUCGUGAGGAAUUAAGGGAAAUCAGUUUGGGGAUCAUGUAGAACUUUACCUUACCUUUCCAACGAGUAUUUAUGCGCUCAAUUUGGAGUUAUAAAUUGAAAGUUAUCACCGUUUGAAUCCGGGUAUGUGGCUGUCCAAAAAAACAAAUUUUCAGGGGGAUGAACAGCAGCAGUAUUAGCAGUUUCUGGGGAUUUUUCGGGAGUAAUUAGUGUUAAUCAGUAUGAGAAUCAUGUAGGGCUUUAUGUUAUCUUUCCAACAAGUACUUAUGCGCUUGAUUCGGAGUUAUAAUUCAGGAGAUAUCGUUGUUUGAAUCCGGUUAUGUUGCUGUCCAAAAAAACAGAUUUUUCAGGUGGGUGAACAGCAGUGGUAUUAGCAGUUUCUGGGAAUUUUUCGUGGGUAAUUAGUGUUAACCAGUAUGGUAAUCAUGUAGGGAUUUGUCUUAUCUUUCCAAUGAGUACUUAUGCGCUUGAUUUGGAAUUAUAUUUUAAAAGAUAUCGCUGUUUGAAUCUGGGUAUGUCGCUGUCCAAAAGACAAAGAAAAACAGAUUACAGGGUUCAUCUUGUGGACUGUUUUGGGCUAAUUAGAUAUUGGAAUUUAAUUAUAAAUUGUAUACAAAACUUGUGGGGAAUUUUAUGUAGAUGCCUCUGGAGUUUUUGUUUGUUACCACUGCUGUCAUAAUUUUAAAAUUAUGAAAUUAUUAAGCAGCGCCGCUGCAGUUUGGUGGGUGUAGGAGAGAUGUAACCCGCGGCGGGGUUUGAGUUGUGCGUAGGUGCGGCGUCGCUUAUGGGCCUGAUUAUGUGAAAUUGGUGUACUAAGUUGGGUGUCAAAAACAGGUGGUGGACUUUCGGAUCGUACUUAGGGAUUUGCCCGAACUUCCGGUAAAGGCAAGUAAAUACAGUGGCGGUUGCUACCGUUUGGUUUGCAUCCUAUUCCCUGUCAUUGAGUAUGCAUAAGUUUUAAUUAUGUUAAUCAUUGAAUUCUAUGAUGAAGUUUAUUUGUUUGGAAGUAUUAAUUCUUAAUUGUCUAAUAUUGUGGAUGAUCAUAAUUUGGUAAUGAUAUAUGUGGUUGAUUCCCAUCUGGAUGAAGUUGAAGUGUCUUUUUGAAUCAUGUUAUAUGAAGUGUUGUAGGCAUGACAUGCACAUCACAUCAUCCAUCUUGCAUUUUGAAGUUAUGUCGUGAUCUUAUGGUCCGACCGUACCGGUACAUUUUUAGCAUCGUACGUUGCCCGAGGAGGGGUACGAUGCGGCUUCAUAUCCUUAGAGGUAUGAAGGCAGAAGUCAUCCUUGCAUUUGCAGACAUUUGCACUCAUGAGGAAAUAUAUGAAGUGUGACAUUACUAUGUUACUAUUGUGGUUUCUACCUGCGAGGUGUGGUAACUAGGUGCGUUGUACGUUGUAUACGUGCUGCACCUUCGUAAUAAGAAGGUUGUGGAAUCAAGUAGUGGUAAAACAAUGUUCUUAUGUGGUUAAACUGUUUGAUAUUAUUUUACUUGCUGAGAUGUGUCAUCUCACUCUUGCAUUACUCAAUGCAGGUACUUGAUACAUGUUGGGAAUGAGGGGAGUAGCAGCACGUCCACUUUCACUCUCACAAUAACGCUGCCCAGGCGCAGCCAUGAUUUAAUUAGAAACUUAUUGUCAAAGGAAGUUUGUUUAUUUUUUUAUAUGGUCGUGCACACUGGUUAAUUCAGUUCAGGUCGUAUGUUUAUCUUUCCUUGCUGGCCGAGUAAUAAUACUUAGUAUGUUUUAGUCAUGAUAUAUGUUUAUACUCUGUUGCUCCCUCUUUUAUGCAAUCUUGCAAAGGGGAUGCUGCCGAAAUUUUAUAUAUGGAUGUCGGAAGUGUAGUGCAGUAGCAUUCCGGGUUGUUUGUGGAACCAUGGAGUGUUACAGUAAAAAAACACAGAAACUGCUAGACUACUGUUGUUCACCCACCACCUAAAAUUCUGGACAGCCCCCUCUACCCAAUCGCAAACGCAACCUCUAAUCAAUUUAAUUGCAGCGCAAAUGAACAAGGGAUGAACACAAAAAUCACCUUGGAUUCUCCCCCUUUCCUUCCUCCCUUCUUCCCUCCACCAAAACGAUUUAAGACUCGCACCACGACGACGAUGAUCCGAGCGGCAAGGAUUGGCACCUUGGGAGGAGGGGAUUGAGGGGGGGGCUAGGGUUUGGUGGCUGCAAG
rnacentral:lncRNA from 1 species